GACGAACGCUGGCGGCGUGCUUAACACAUGCAAGUCGAACGGUGAAGGGACCGGUUUUUGCUGGUUCUGGAUGAGUGGCGAACGGGUGAGUAACACGUGAGUAACCUGCCCCCUUCUUCUGGAUAACCGCAUGAAAGUGUGGCUAAUACGGGAUAUUCUGCGCCUGCUGCAUGGUGGGUGUGGGAAAGAUAUUGUUUCGGUGGGGGAUGGGCUCGCGGCCUAUCAGCUUGUUGGUGGGGUGAUGGCCUACCAAGGCGGUGACGGGUAGCCGGCCUGAGAGGGUGGACGGUCACACUGGGGCGGAGACACGGACCAGACUCCUACGGGAGGCAGCAGUGGGGAAUAUUGCACAAUGGGCGCAAGCCUGAUGCAGCGACGCCGCGUGAGGGAUGGAGGCCUUCGGGUUGUAAACCUCUUUCGCCAGUGAAGCAGGCCUGUCCCUUUUGUGGGUGGGUUGACGGUAGCUGGAGAAGAAGCGCCGGCUAACUACGUG
rnacentral:rRNA from 1 species